rnacentral:rRNA from 1 species
GCUUGCUCCACCGGAAAAAGAGGAGUGGCGAACGGGUGAGUAACACGUGGGUAACCUGCCCAUCAGAAGGGGAUAACACUUGGAAACAGGUGCUAAUACCGUAUAACAAUCGAAACCGCAUGGUUUUGAUUUGAAAGGCGCUUUCGGGUGUCGCUGAUGGAUGGACCCGCGGUGCAUUAGCUAGUUGGUGAGGUAACGGCUCACCAAGGCCACGAUGCAUAGCCGACCUGAGAGGGUGAUCGGCCACAUUGGGACUGAGACACGGCCCAAACUCCUACGGGAGGCAGCAGUAGGGAAUCUUCGGCAAUGGACGAAAGUCUGACCGAGCAACGCCGCGUGAGUGAAGAAGGUUUUCGGAUCGUAAAACUCUGUUGUUAGAGAAGAACAAGGAUGAGAGUAACUGUUCAUCCCUUGACGGUAUCUAACCAGAAAGCCACGGCUAACUACGUGCCAGCAGCCGCGGUAAUACGUAGGUGGCAAGCGUUGUCCGGAUUUAUUGGGCGUAAAGCGAGCGCAGGCGGUUUCUUAAGUCUGAUGUGAAAGCCCCCGGCUCAACCGGGGAGGGUCAUUGGAAACUGGGAGACUUGAGUGCAGAAGAGGAGAGUGGAAUUCCAUGUGUAGCGGUGAAAUGCGUAGAUAUAUGGAGGAACACCAGUGGCGAAGGCGGCUCUCUGGUCUGUAACUGACGCUGAGGCUCGAAAGCGUGGGGAGCAAACAGGAUUAGAUACCCUGGUAGUCCACGCCGUAAACGAUGAGUGCUAAGUGUUGGAGGGUUUCCGCCCUUCAGUGCUGCAGCUAACGCAUUAAGCACUCCGCCUGGGGAGUACGACCGCAAGGUUGAAACUCAAAGGAAUUGACGGGGGCCCGCACAAGCGGUGGAGCAUGUGGUUUAAUUCGAAGCAACGCGAAGAACCUUACCAGGUCUUGACAUCCUUUGACCACUCUAGAGAUAGAGCUUCCCCUUCGGGGGCAAAGUGACAGGUGGUGCAUGGUUGUCGUCAGCU